rnacentral:rRNA from 1 species
CCUACGGGAGGCAGCAGUGGGGAAUAUUGCGCAAUGGGGGAAACCCUGACGCAGCAACGCCGCGUGAGUGAGGAAGGACUUCGGUCUGUAAAGCUCUGUUAAUGUGGAAAAAUGUUAGUUGGUCUAAUAGGCCGAUUAAUUGAUGGUACACAUAGAGGAAGCACCGGCUAACUUCGUGCCAGCAGCCGCGGUAAUACGAAGGGUGCAAGCGUUGUUCGGAUUUAUUGGGCGUAAAGCGCGCGUAGGCGGACCUGCAAGUCAGAUGUGAAAUCUCGGGGCUCAACCUCGAAACUGCGUCUGAAACUACAGGUCUAGAAUCUUGGAGGGGGAAGGGGAAUUUCUCAUGUAGGGGUAAAAUCCGUAGAUAUGAGAAGGAACACCAGAGGCGAAGGCGCCUUCCUGGACAAGUAUUGACGCGGAGGCGCGAAAGCGUGGGGAUCAAACAGGAUUAGAUACCCUGGUAGUCCCACGCUAGUAACGAUAGAACACUAGAUAUUAGUCGAGAUUAGUACCGUCCGUCAGUGUCGUA